GAUGAACGCUAGCUACAGGCUUAACACAUGCAAGUCGCGGGACCGGCGCACGGGUGAGUAACGCGUAUCCAACCUGCCCUUGACUCGGGCAUACCCCGGCGAAAGACAGAUUAAUACCCGAUGUUAAGGACUGGGAUGACUUCCAUUAGUUUGUUGGUGGGGUAACGGCUCGCCCACCCUUCGAUGGGUAGGGGUUCUGAGAGGAAGGUCCCCCACAUUGGAACUGAGACACGGUCCACACUCCUACGGGAGGCAGCAGUGAGGAAUAUUGGUCAAUGGGCGUUAGCCUGAACCAGCCAAGUAGCGUGCAGGAUGACGGCUUAUGGGUUGUAAACUUCUUUUAUGUAGGGAUAGGUAUUAUAUGAAUAAGGAUCGGCUAACUCCGUGCCAGCCGCCGCGGUAAUAC
rnacentral:rRNA from 1 species